rnacentral:ncRNA from 1 species
CGACCUCAGAUCAGACGAGAUUACCCGCUAAAUUUAAGCAUAUCAAUAAGCGGUGGAAAAGAAACGAAAACGAAUUCUCCAAGUAGCGGCGAGCGAAACGAGAAAAGUCCAUACACCGAAGUCGGCGAGCAGUUGUGUUCGUCAACAGUGUGGUGUUAAAGGUGUCGUUGCAUGUGCUGAAAUCAGUUCGUAGGCUCCCUUGAUUGGGGCUUCAGAGCGGGUGCAGGACCCAUAACGAACGAUGUUUUGUGCAUGGUGUCGCGGCUCCUAAUCGAGUCGGGUUGCUUGAGACUGCAGCCCAAAGCGGGUGGUAAAUCUCACCCAAGACUAAAUAUUCGUACGAGACCGAUAGCGAACAAGUACCGCGAGGGAAAGUUUGAAAAGAACUCUGAAGAGAGAGUUCAACAAGACGUGAAACCGUUUGACCGGUAAACGGAUGGAGCUGACGGUGCAAUUUUGACCAAAAUCAGUCGUCGCUGGGUUCGUUGCGAAUGAAUCUUU